AUUAAGAGUCAUGCCCUUACCGGGUAGAUCUCCCACCCUUGAAUAUACUACCUCUUGUUGCUUUGGCGGGCCGCUUCGUCCACCGGCUUCGGCUGGUGAGUGCCCGCCAGAGGACCCUAAACUCUGAAUUAUAGUGUCGUCUGAGUACUAUACAAUAGUUAANAACUUUCAACAACGGAUCUCUUGGUUCUGGCAUCGAUGAAGAACGCAGCGAAAUGCGAUAAGUAAUGUGAAUUGCAGAAUUCAGUGAAUCAUCGAAUCUUUGAACGCACAUUGCGCCCCUUGGUAUUCCGGGGGGCAUGCCUGUUCGAGCGUCAUUAUAACCCUCAAGCUCAGCUUGGUGUUGGGGCAUGCCAGUAGGCAGCUCUUAAAAUCAGUGGCAGUGCCCUCUGGCUCUAAGCGUAGUCAAUUCUUCUCGCUAUAGGGUCCGGACGGUGCUCGCGCCAGAACCCCCAAUUUUCUAUGGUUGACCUCGGCAUCAGGUAGGGAUACCCGCUGAACUUAAGUCAUAAUCAAUAAGCGGGAAAGGAA
rnacentral:rRNA from 1 species